AUUGAACGCUGGCGGCAUGCUCUACACAUGCAAGUCGAACGGUAACAGGCCGCAAGGUGCUGACGAGUGGCGAACGGGUGAGUAAUGCAUCGGAACGUGCCCAGUCGUGGGGGAUAACUACUCGAAAGAGUAGCUAAUACCGCAUACGAUCUAUGGAUGAAAGCGGGGGACCGUAAGGCCUCGCGCGAUUGGAGCGGCCGAUGUCAGAUUAGGUAGUUGGUGGGGUAAAGGCUCACCAAGCCAACGAUCUGUAGCUGGUCUGAGAGGACGACCAGCCACACUGGGACUGAGACACGGCCCAGACUCCUACGGGAGGCAGCAGUGGGGAAUUUUGGACAAUGGGCGCAAGCCUGAUCCAGCAAUGCCGCGUGCAGGAAGAAGGCCUUCGGGUUGUAAACUGCUUUUGUACGGAACGAAACGGCUCUGGUUAAGACCCGGGGCUAAUGACGGUACCGUAAGAAUAAGCACCGGCUAACUACGU
rnacentral:rRNA from 1 species